rnacentral:lncRNA from 1 species
GGCAACUGUGGGGCAAUGAACUUGGCUUCCUGCUUCUCCCUUGAAAUUUAGCUGAUUUUCCCAUUUCAUGUUGAUUCUUCCCCAUUUGACUUUUCUGUCACCGUAAGUCACUCUCAUGACCCCUUGUGUUCUUCUACCCUGUAGACUCAUGUCCACUGCAUUUAUUCUGUCCUUGUAGCCAGAUUUUACCUACCAGUGACAGUGGGUAUAACCUGCUAUUACCUGGACUGAUAGAAAGAAGGAACAAGUGGAGGAGCAUCCAGGAUGGAGAAAGGUGUCCCCUUGUAACCUUUCGGCCAGCAGAGGUAACUGCUGGGGCAGGACAGUUCCCUGCCAGGGAGCUGUGCCAUGGACAUCUGCCUGCCCCUGAGCCACUAGGAGCCAAACCCAUCAGGACCACGCUCCCGAGCUCGUGAUGGGUGAGUGGUGUGGUGCUGUGCGUGCUCCACACCACCGCUCACAUCCUGCUCCUCGCCAGCACGCACACAUUUGUCUUGUGCAAUCCCAAACCUCUGGCAAUGCUCACUUCCCUCCUCCCAGCUUCCCUGGUUUCAUUUAGUGCCCGGAAGCCCCAGUGUGGCUUUGAUGAGCCCCUUGCACCCUGCUUGGAGGAGGCAUGAGCAGCCAUGCCCUGGGACACCGCAGUCCUGCCGAGGAUCGCAGCGACGUGGAGCAGGUGGUUGGAGCACAGGGGCUGACAUAGGUUCCUCCAAGGCUUCAGUCCAGCCUUUCUGGCUGGUGGGUACAAGGAGGAUUUCAGGAGCCCCAUGGAGCAGCUGGAUCUGCACACCUGGAGGGGGAAGGAGCCGUGUACGUGCUUACUCAUGAGCGUGACAGAGUCUGCCCACAGUAACUCUCAUUCUUCUUGUUCCUGAUGAAACUUGCAUAAAGGUCAGCAAGAAAACACAGAAAUACCUGAGAAUGUCUUCACUUCUUGUUAAAAUAUAAUUUCAAAACGUCCUGUAAUAACCAAGCCACCGGAAAUACUCAGUGCUACUUUUUUCCAAGUUGAAAAUACCUGGUUUUCAGCUUCUGUAACCCCCUUCCUCUCCCCAGGGUGGGUUUUAUUGGUGCUAUUUGAAAGUGAA